UACGGAGGGAGCUAGCGUUGUUCGGAAUUACUGGGCGUAAAGCGCACGUAGGCGGCUUUCUAAGUCGGGGGUGAAAUCCUGGAGCUCAACUCCAGAACUGCCUUCGAUACUGGAGAGCUUGAGUCCGGGAGAGGUGAGUGGAACUGCGAGUGUAGAGGUGAAAUUCGUAGAUAUUCGCAAGAACACCAGUGGCGAAGGCGGCUUACUGGCCCGGUACUGACGCUGAGGUGCGAAAGCGUGGGGAGCAAACAGG
rnacentral:rRNA from 1 species